CGCCCCCUCCCUGGACGUGCCAGGCUGCACGCAGCUAGCCGAGGUGCUGCGUGUGCUCGCGGGACACGCUGGCUUCAAACGCUCUGCUGCUACUGGCUUUGAACUCUGGAUCUUUUUGCCUUUCCUCCCAGGGGUUGGGGUGAUACUGCCAUGCCCGUGCUGGACGUGCAGCAUUGUCUUGAAAAAUGAUCCCCCGACUCUUGUCUCCCUCAGGACAGUCUUCCGUGUUUCACAUCACAACUGUGGGGAAGGAAGCCGGCCAGGCAUGGGGAAACUCCGCCUCUGCCCUCCAAGUCACUUCCGCGCAGAAGCCAACCAGGGGACCCCGCAAACGGCCAGCAGAGGUCCCCAGACCUGNNNNNNNNNNC
rnacentral:lncRNA from 1 species